AACACUGUUAACCUGCGGUACCUGCGGAGGGAUCAUUAGUGGGAAAAAACAACUCAGGAGCUGGGGGUAACACCUCUCUCCUGUUUCAACCUGUGAAUUGUUAAAGUCUUUGACAACAUCGGGGUCACCCUUUGUUCGUCAUUUUAACAAAAUACCUAUACACACCGUCUUAUCCAUCUACAGAGUCUAACUCUGUGAACUAAAUACAACUUUUAACAACGGAUCUCAGAUCGGAAGAGC
rnacentral:misc_RNA from 1 species